rnacentral:misc_RNA from 1 species
GCAGGUUUCCAUCCAUGGCGCAGACGACAGUGGUUAGCUUGCGAGAUGUGAAUGUAUUGAGUGAAAAUCUGCGACAGUUUUUGUAGCGUGGAUGCAGCAGAAUGGCGGAUAGCAUAGUGGAAGGAUGGCUUCGUUCUUUGAACCUUGUACACUACACACAAGCGUUCUUAGACAAUGGUUAUGACGACUUGGAAGUGUGUAAACAAGUCGGAGAGGCGGAUUUGGAUGCGAUCGGUGUCACCAAGCACGAUCACCGAGAAAAGCUCCUGCGCGCCGUACGGAUACUGAAAGAGGAGGGAGGAACGGCAGUGUAUUUCACAUUGGAGGACCCUAUCUCGUCGGAAAACAGUUAUGAGGAGACAGUCGUGUUCGCGGACCUGGGCCCUGCCCCAGAAUCCCCACCACAAGGCCUGAGCGCCGAGGCCUACGACGCUGGGAAGACAGCCCUGUUGACGUACCCUAAACUCCAACUCAAACAUAUAUUGAGGGACAAGUUAGUUGAAGAUGAGAUCGACUUGUCUAAUCCGCCAUUCACCACGACGGAAAACACCUUGUGCCAAAGUAGCCUGACUGCACUGGCUGUCAAAUAUGCAAAAGAAAUCAAAACCCACUUUGCUGAUGUAUGGGACCGACUGGAAGACCUGUGGAAGGUGGCCCAGGAUAUCGACAACUUUCAGAGUGUAUGCAGGAGUCCUAUGCACAGUAUCUAUGGUGGAUCAAGUCUGUACUGGCUUCUCUCCCCGUGGAGUACCGCCGCCUCUUCCCUCUUGUCCCCCGCCAUCCACCAGCCAUGUUGACAGAAUGCCGGAGCUCCCCAUCUCGCCAUAUGGGUACAGUCAGGAGAACUAUGUGGCCAUCGAUGGAGAUGUACGGGACACUGUGCUGUCGGAGGGCAAGAAAUCAUCCUCAUUGGGCAAAUUUUUACGAAAUAUUGGGAUACGUCGGUCAGGAAGAAAGAACUCUUACAAACAACAUUCAG